GCAAAAUCAUGUUACUAUCAUGUGAAUUCAUACUAAUUGAAGCUGACUUGGUCAGAAUGCAAGUGUUAAUCCUAGUUCUUUGCAAAUCUGCUUUGUUUACAAUUUGAAGACUAAGAUAACAGCACACCUGGAGAAGUUUGGAGUGAAAUUAAACUAAAAUUUAGUUUAUUAAUACACUCGACUUCUGAUGAGAAAUUCUCAAAUGAGGGUUGUGACAUGGGCUUUUGGAAUUUUUUUUUAUUGAUUGUUUGGAGGACAUAAUUAUGAUAAAGACAAUUUAGUGAAACCCAGUGCAUAAAUAUUUUGAUGUAAAAUGUGGUCUAGGUUUUUGGCUGAUAGAAUAAAUUACCUUUGGAGCUACUUUUGUGUAUAAAUAUUUUCUUAGAUGCAUCUUGAGUGGUCUAAUGUCUUCAAAUGAUAAUGCCACAAUUCUGCACUUGUCUUCUUUACAGGUUGCUCUUCCAAGUAUGAUAGAAGCUUAUAAUAUUUUUCUCCAAACUUUUGCCUGUU
rnacentral:misc_RNA from 1 species